rnacentral:tRNA from 1 species
GUUUUUAUGGUGUAACUAACAUAUUGAAUUUUCCUUUCAAAGAUUAAUUUAAAAAUUGGAGCUA